rnacentral:rRNA from 1 species
UACAGAGGUCUCGAGCGUUAGGCGGAAUCACUGGGCUUAAAGCGUGUGUAGGCGGAUCGGUAAGUACCUUGUGAAAUCCCACAGCUUAACUGUGGAACUGCUUGGUAUACUGCCAGUCUUGAGCCAGCUAGGGGCUACCGGAACAAAUGGUGGAGCGGUGAAAUGCGUAGAUAUCGAGAGGAACACCUGCGGCGAAGGCGGGUUGCUGGGCUGACACUGACGCUGAUGCGCGAAAGCCAGGGGAGCGAAGCGGG